ACCUGGCUGGCUCAGUUGGUAGAGCGUAUGACUCGUGAUCUUGGGAUCAUGAGUUCGAGCCCCACGUUGGGGU
rnacentral:tRNA from 1 species